rnacentral:tRNA from 1 species
UGGCUCAGAUGGUAAAGCCUCUGCCUACAAUGCAGGAGACCCAGGUUCGAUCCCUGG